ensembl:lncRNA
CUCCACCUGCGCGUAACUGCUGCUAGUUCCCUAACCUCCAGCAGGAGUUGUAUUUAAGGAGGAGGUUGGGGAGGAGGAGAAGGCAGGGGCUCAAGGAGAAGAAGAAAAAAAAAUCACAGAAUCAUGGGGGUGAGGGCAUGAGAGCCAGGGUGCAGGGCUCCCACUGAUGCAAGAGGCAAAGGCUGCGAAUUCUUCCUUCUCUGAGCGGCCCCCAGACACCCCUCAGACACCCCUGUUUUCCUCCCCUGGAUGGUGGGCCUCUGAAAUUCCAGGGCUGUAGCCCGGUGGGUCUGGAUCAGGGUUUUUCUACACCCCCUACACUUCCCACUCUUGACCACAGUCGUCCACUUCCCUACAGACAUGAAAACACGUGUGUGGCUCUGAUGGUUUUCUCAGGCUUUUUCUUGCCCGUACACUAGAGAAGGGGCACACACACGUGCACGCACCAAGGAGAGAGAAUACGUGUAGAGACGCAUCCACAAGACUACAAUUCUAUCCAGUUCAAACAGAUACACAGAGCAUGUGUGUAUUACAUACAUAUAUAUAUUUGUAUAGGAAAGACCGUACGAUUCAAGUGAACUGCGCGCUGAGACCGCUACGUAGGCAGCGCAUGUGUGAAUGUAAAAGCUGGACAGCUCAAAACCAGAACGGGUCAGAGGAAUGUGCUGCGGGUGGAGAGGGAGGUGUGGACCCUUGUCCUGCCACCUCACAUCACUGAGAACAGGGAGAAGAUGAACCUCCUAGUGCUGAAGCCCGCCCACACUCUGGAGUUCAUGGAGACACCCCAACUUACUGGAACUUCAAAUGCCUCCUGGGUGUCGUCCAGCAUCUGGAUUUUAAUGGACAUGAGUUUUCCUGAAGGUGUUGGGGGCGGGGCUGGUCUGUGUGACCCUUCAUGGGCUGGGUCUCCCCGAUCCUCCCCGCAGCCUUAAAGGAGGUUACUGUUGGCCCUGUUUCCCAGAUGGGGCACCUGAGACUCACUUAGUAGCAGCCAAAAUCCAGGAGGUACCAACCAACAGUCUAUAAUCCACUGGAACAAGCCAUUAAGGAAACACAAACCCGCCUGGGACAAUAUAUAAAAGCAGAAAUAACAAUAUCGGGACAGCAAGAAAUGGUAAAUAAAGAACACACGUUCUGCUCUAUUAUACUCUAGUUUUUCAUCUAACAGUGAUUUUGCUGAAGUACAAAAUUCACCUAUAACAGAAGUUCCAUGUGCAUGUUAUAUAUUCUCAGAUUUAAAGAUCAUAAAAUCAGAAAUGAAGAACAAAGUGAAUCUCCACCAGGCAUCUGUAAACUUGGAUACCCUGUGUCACAGCAAGGCAACAGUUAGAAGGGCAUUUUUCUUAAAGUCACUAAGAAUAGUUUCAACAUUGAAAACAAGCAACGGCCACCUGGGUGGCUCAAUCGGUUAAGCAUCCAACUCUUGAUUUUGGCUUAGGUCAGGAUCUCACAGUUCAUGGGUUCAAUACUUGAAUCAGGCUCUGCACCUGAGUGACCAGCCUGCUUGGGAUUCUCUCUUGCCCUCUCUCUCUCUCUGCCUGUGCCCACCCCCUCAAAAUAAAUAAAUAAACAUUUAAAACAACAACAAAAAAAGGAAAAUGGAUUGUUCUCUACACCAAUAUAAGCAGGAAGAAUGAACAGUCUUUAUCUAAAGAAUUCUGAAACUGACAAGAACAUAAAACCAAAUAAACUGAGAGUAAGUAAAACUUAAGCAACAAAAAAAGUAUAUCAUCUGUUACAGAAAACAUGAAAAAAACAAAAAAAAAGAAAAAGAAAAGGAAAACUUAGGGGCACCUGACUGGUUCAGCCAGUGGAGUGUGUGACUUUUGAUCUCAGGGUUGUGAGUUUGAGCCCCACGUUGAGUAUAAAGAUUACUUCAAUAAAAACUUUGAGGGGAAAAAAAAGGGAAACUUAAAACAAUAGUCUUGAAAUUUACAUCUCCCCCAAGUCUAUAAAAGCCUGGGACAUUUUCCCAACAUUUCACAGAUAAACAAUCCUUUUUUU